CUCGAAUCUCUCUUUUAUCUCCUCCUGCGUGCUUCUGAAUAUUUUUUCUAGUAUUUAUGUGAUUCUGUUUACUUUAAUAGAGAGACAUCUUAUUGAAAAUGGCUCAGCUUAGCAGCUCUGUUCAUUUCUAGUUACCUUUGUUCGAUUGAUGUUGAAUUUCUAGAGACCAUGGCUGUUCCUUUGCUGUCCAAGAAGAUUGUGAAGAAGCGAGUAAAGAAGUUCAAGAGGCCCCAGAGUGACCGUAAGAUUUCUGUGAAGACAAACUGGCGAAGGCCAAAGGGUAUUGAUUCAAGGGUCAGG
rnacentral:misc_RNA from 1 species